AUAGUAAAGGGAUGAGGUACAAUGUGCUGCUGAUGAAUUUUGCAUUUUAGUGAACUAUGUAUGAGUAUGUUUAUGUGUAUAUAUACACAUGCACACACACAUAUUUUGCAUGAAUUUCAGUUUUCUGGAAAUCAUACUGUACAUGAAUCCAUGUAAGGUUUGCAAAUCUAAAUUCAAUAUUGAUAACAGCUUUAAAUCCUGUCCUUUCAACUUCCUCUGUAUAAUUAUACCAAAUAAAAACUCAACAGCCACACAGAUGUGUUAGGAUUGGGAGCCUGUAGCUCUGACUCAAGGUUCAGGGAAUAUUGUCAUAAAAAUGAAGAGAUUGAAAUUAUCAUUGCAGGAGAAGAGAAGAAUGGAUUUAGAAAAAGGAAUUCGAUCCCCAAGUGUUCUCACCUACAAAAAGGAAUCAUGAUGGCUCCUACCUCAGAGGCUGGGGAAGAAGGGAAGGAACACACCCUCACAGGCUCUUCCCUGGCUGCAUUCAUGCACUGUGUCCCGCUUCUCAGUGGAACCAGCUAUCAGCACCAUGGACAGAACCCGGGAGAUUGGGUCCUCAGAGCAAGUAAAAUGAUUCAGGAGUGUCUGGCCAAGGCACUAACUACAGAGAUUUUUAUUUCAUGUGAAUAAACAGUUUUCUGUUUGACUUCAAGGCCAGGAUCCCGUUUUCCUUUUGCAGUUCUUCUGAGGAAGUUAAUGUUAAUGAGCACAAGAUGAAACUUAGCUUCAACAUGAUCUGUACUUUACACAUCAAAAUAAAGAAGAUUACCAACACAGUCACAGACACAGGUAUAACAAACUUUUCAAAAUGCUUUAAUAUUUAACAACAAACAGGCUACUUUCUUUCCUAUCUUUUAAAAAAAGGUCUGUUUUUCAAAGACAUAAAAAUACCUUGAGCAAUUUGUAUUAAUAUUGUAUCAUGCCUUGUGCCUUAUAGAAUGUUGAUCCAUUUAGUUGUCCAUGAAAAAUUAAUUUAUGAUGAAGUAAUGGAAAAAUACUGAUGCUGAAGAUAACAGUAUAUUUUAGACCAUUUAAUGAGUGCUGAGUUACAAAGGAUAGUUACUGUAAUUCUGCAAUAGACCAGGCCUACCUAAACCACAACCAGUUUUUAAGUUUUUCAACUGCUAAGGUGAAACAUGGGACAAACCUAGAAAAUACCUGACAGACUGCAAAGGAGGCUACAAAGACCUCCUUUGGUUUUUCAAGAAAACAUUUGGUUUUUCAAGAAACCAAAAAGGGUGUGAAAUCUUCAAAACUAUGUCCAAAACAAUUUACCAAGCUUAGCCCUCAAAAAAUAUCCAAAAUAUUGCUUUGCAAAUAAGGAAAGAUGGGUUGUUUACCAUAUUCACUUCUAAGGAAUCAUCUUCUCUAGAAGAAUGAUGGUCUAAAGACCAGGUGGUUCACACCUAUAAUCCCAGCUCUUUGGGUGGCCAAGGUGUGAGGAUUGGUUGAGGUCAGGAGCUUGAGGUGAGCCCAGGUAACAUAAGAGUGAUAGCAUAGCCGAGUUUGUCUCAAAGAUAGCUGUUUUUUAAAUGACAUUGAAAGCAUUAAACCCAGAGUAGUGCUGAGUAUUAAAACAUAAACAUGGUUUUCGCAGAAAAGUGAAACUACUUAUAGGAAGAGUACAAGUCCGUGGAGGAGAAUAAGGUUCUAACACCAUGAGAUGGCUCUGAUCCUAAAAUUUGCACCACUUAAGUGAUCACUUGGGCUAAGCUUUAGCAGAUAAAUAGUGACUCUUAUUAAAAUACAAUUGUGUUGGGAGCCGGGCGUUGUGGCUCAUGUCUAUAAUCCCAGCACUUUGAGAGGGUAAGGCAGGUGAAUCACUUGAGGUCAGGAGUUUGAGACCAGCCUGGCCAACAUGGCAAAACCCUGUCUCUACUAAAAAAAAAUUAGCCAGGCAUGAUGGCACACACCUGUGGUCCCAGCUACUUGGGAGGCUGAGGCAAGAGAAUUGCUUGAACCCGACAGGCAGAGGUUGCAGUGAGCCAAGAUUGUGCCACUACACUCUGGCCUGGGCGGCAGAGCAAGACUCCAUUUCAAAAAAUAAAUAAAUACAAUACAAAUGUGUUAUUUUGGAAUUUCCACACAUGGUCAUAUUAAGCCACAAAGAACAAUGGAAGCCAUGGCAGAAGCCACUCUGAUGGGAGCAGGAGGGAAAAUCUAGCGGCAGAAGUACCAGCCAGAAAGAGUGGAUACAGACAGUGCUUUAAUGUGUGUGUUUCUGGACAGAAACAGAUGUUAUAAAGACACUAAGAAGUUCAGGUUGGCACCUAACCUGGAGAAAAGGAAUCUAAGAGUGACAGACAGUGCUCAGUAUAGCUUCAACAUUAAGGCUAUAGGUUUUAAAGGCAGUUAGCCUGGGCUCACAUCCUAGUUUUUACACCCACUCAUUUAAUUAAAACUCCUUUAGCUUCAAUGUUCUGACCCUAACAUAAGUGCAUUAAUAUUUUCCUCUCAAGAUCAUUGUAAAAAUAAAUAAGGUAUUAAAUAAGUACUUAGCACAGCACAUGUCAUGUGACAAGCACUUGCUGUGCCAUAAUGAGUAAUUCACAGUUUUGUCUGUGACUAAUCCUCAGCUGUCCCUUCAUGGAUGUCCACUGGUUGCUGCUGCCAAUGGUAACAGUUUUUUCUUCCACUGUGGCAGACCUUCCUCUGUGUUCUACAUUUCAAGUGAGCUGUCCAGGCUGGGCUGGCCAAGCUCAUCUCCAGAGAAGGAAAUAUGUCAUAUACAAGGGACACAAUGUCUGUUUGAACAGACCUGGGGUUCAGGAAUGCACAAUUGCAAAGGAAAAAUAUAAAUAUGGAUUUCAUUAUAGAAAAAGUAAAGGAGAUGAGUAGAGAGGCUUAUAAUAUCACACUAUAUGCUUGGUACUACACUAGGUAAUUUCACUUACAUUAUUUGCACUAUAUGCUUGUAAAAUUAUUUACAUUUAUUUACAAAGUAAAUUUAUUUACAUUUCAUUUGAUGUUCAUCACAAUCUUGUAACAGAGGCACAAGUUUCAUCUAUGGGUUAGAAAAUUAAGGCCCUGAGGUUCUACAGCGUAUAGGAGGCAGAUCCAGAAAAAUAACUAAAAUAAUGUACAUCAAAUAAACAAAUGCAAAAUGGAGCAGAGUUUUAAAAGAAAGCAUUCAGAGAUGCCCCAAAAUCUUCCUGAGAUUUUCUCUGUAUAAGCAAUUCUGAGUCCUUUGGAGUUUACAGCAAAAGUAACAUGGGGUUGUUGCAAGAUUCCCAAGUUACUAGAGUUUGAGCACAGCAUGGUCGUCAGUUCUGCAUUGCAAGAAGCUGUGCACUUGCCUAGAAAGCUGCAAGUGUCAUUGAUUCCCCUGGUGAUUCCGACAUGAACAUCUUGAUGUUCAUAUGCCCUAUGAGGAUCAGGGCAGGAGCGAGCAAUUGCCAAUUAUAUUUUUUUUCUUUUUUUUUUUUUUUUUUUUUUUUUUUUUUUGAGAUGGAGCCUCGCUCUGUCGCCCAGGCUGGAGUGCAGUAGUGGCAUGAUCUCACUGCAAGCUCCACCUCCCGGGUUCACGCUAUUCUCCUG
rnacentral:lncRNA from 10 species